GCGUUGAUGGUGUAGUGGUAGCAUUGUCGCUCUUCAAACCGCCGCUAGUCCAGUUGGACCAGCGGUGGAUCCUCGCGACAACCCAGGUUCAAGUCCUGGUCAACGCC